rnacentral:rRNA from 1 species
UUAUUCACCCUUGUCUUUUGCGUACUUCUUGUUUCCUUGGUGGGUUCGCCCACCACUAGGACAAACAUAAACCUUUUGUAAUUGCAAUCAGCGUCAGUAACAAAUUAAUAAUUACAACUUUCAACAACGGAUCUCUUGGUUCUGGCAUCGAUGAAGAACGCAGCGAAAUGCGAUAAGUAGUGUGAAUUGCAGAAUUCAGUGAAUCAUCGAAUCUUUGAACGCACAUUGCGCCCUUUGGUAUUCCAAAGGGCAUGCCUGUUCGAGCGUCAUUUGUACCCUCAAGCUUUGCUUGGUGUUGGGCGUCUUGUCUCUAGCUUUGCUGGAGACUCGCCUUAAAGUAAUUGGCAGCCGGCCUACUGGUUUCGGAGCGCAGCACAAGUCGCACUCUCUAUCAGCAAAGGUCUAGCAUCCAUUAAGCCUUUUUUUCAACUUUUGACCUCGGAUCAGGUAGGGAUACCCGCUGAACUUAAGCAUAU